rfam:Loxodonta africana unplaced genomic scaffold scaffold_143, whole genome shotgun sequence.
GGCUGUGUGGUGUAAUGGAUAAGGUAUCUGAUUCCAGAUGUAGAGGAUUGAGGGUUCAAGUCCCUUCAUGGCUG